rnacentral:lncRNA from 1 species
UUAUUUAAAACAAAGCCACCUCGUGUAAAAGCCAAAGGCUUCAGCAGCAAAGCCAGGUCCCACUCACCUGCAGCAGACACAUGCAGUGGCAGCACUGUCCCAAACCGAAACCUGCAGCCCAUAAGACUUUUCCGGUCUCACAAAACUCCCCACACCAAACAGGGACAUUGUACUCCUUCCUGACCCUUUCCUCCCCCAAAUUUAACACCCCCUCAACGCGCUUUCACCCUUUUGCAAAACAGCCCUGAGGGCUCACAUCCGCCCCGGCGGCGCUGCCCAUGCUGCAGCUCCCCCCCCCUCCUACCGCCGGGCCGGGCCGGGCCGCUCCUCCGUGCCUUGCAGCAGCACCGGCUAAUCGCCAACACCUGCCUGAGAGGAGUUUUUGCUACGUUAGAGGAGCCCUGGCUCGAUGGCAGCCUUUUCACCCCUUCAACAGCUUCCCCGCAGCCCCCCUGCUCCUCCUGGCCACGCCACUUCCCUGCCCGGGAGCUGGGAGCUGUGAGGCAGUACUGGUCAGCAGUGGGGAGGAUGACAGCUUCCACAGCGGCCUGUUCCUCCCACCGUGUGUAGCACUGAUUCACCUUUUGGUAUUAAAAAGAAAAAUAUAAGCUGAUAAGCUAUCCCCAGGCAGCACUUUCAUGCUACCCAAGACAGCCUCUGUGGCUGCAGAGAUCCUUCAAUAAGCUGUCAAGAGCUGGCGUCCCUGUGUAAAGAGCUGUUCGUCCCUAUAUCUCAUUUUAGAUUGAUGUACGUGCCACUUUCAUAUCCUUCAGCUCAGCGUAACAUUUGCCCUUUCAUGUUCUCAGUUUAAGCCACUGGGAAUUGAAAGCUAUUUCAAAGCAUAAUUAUAGCAAUCUGCAUAUAAAAGGCUAUAUGUCCUACAGAGGAUUCUGCAGAAAAAAGCAAACUCCUCGAAAGAAGAAAAUUAGAAGUAAAUCCCACAACUUAGAUUCAGUAGUUAAUACAUUUUUCAUCUGAUGUGAACAGUCUGUGGAUUUGUAAAGCCAAUGGAAAAUUGUCUAAGCCACUGUACUGAAUCAGUCUUCACCUAUGAAACAACGUAGCUGUUACAAGGGGCCCACAUCUUCAAAGCUUGCUCUCUCCUGGUGUGCUAUCCUGCACCUUAUUGACCUAAAGGCAUGCUGCAAGGCCCACUUGUUUAAGUGAGCUUUGAAGGGCUGGAGAGCUUCCCCACCUUCCUCCCUGUGGGCUGCUGCCAGCUCUUGAGGAAGGAGCGGUCUGUAGAAACAUCACUUGCUAAAAACAUCAUGAAAGAGAUAUAGAAGAGGCCUUUUAAAUAGGUAAAUCUAUCAAG